GGACGUGUACCGCUGUACCGCUGGAUGCUGGAGUUCCGUUUUUUCCGUCUUUUCGAGUAAAUAAACACACAAUUUUUGUGUUAAUAACACAUUUUUUGUCUGUUCUAUUGUGCGGAAAUCGAGUGAGUGAGAGGGGAAAUAAACAGAAACCGCAAGCAAAAAUCAACAAAAGCGUGUGGGAAGAGGAAAACGAAAAUGAGUGUGUGCGAGUGAAAUAUGGAAAUUGAAAAUGCAAUUAAUCGCGGAUUAAUGGCAAGCCAUAGAAAUCGCUUAAUGGCUUAAAGUGCAAGAGAAAAGUGUUAUUGUUGUCAACGCGGAAGCUCGAAGCCAAAAGUCUGGCGUAACAAAAUCUACGUGUAUUUAUUGUUUUCGUUUUCGCAACAACAAUAAGCCAUUAAGCUGAGUGCUGAAAUAGUCAAUUUACAAUUGGAGCUGCCGAGAAGUCUAUAUAUAAAAUAUAAACAUUUUGGUGUAUUUCCCUGGUAAAAAUGGAGGCAAAAAUCUCAGAAAUAUAAGAAAAAGAAUAUAUCGUUGCAAAUUGCUGAAAAUAAUAAUAAGAGAAGGAACGAAAAAGCGAACAGCAAUAACUCAAGCUCACA